rnacentral:misc_RNA from 1 species
CUCGACUGUGCAUGUUGUCCUUUAAAAGAUUUCAGUGUAUUGGGUGAAAAAAGCAUCUGGCUCUAAGUUAGCGAUCAUCAACGGCUUCACGUACUACUGUAGCAUCAAGAGCAAAACGACGAGCGCAUGGCGCUGCACGAAGGGCAGAAAUUGCAAAGCACGCUUCACUCUCCACAAUGAAUCUAACAAAGUUUUAAAACUAGAAAUGUUGCAUGAUCACGAACCACCGCAGUUUAUUAUUCGCAAUGGAAUUUAUAUGAAAGUUUAUAAUAGUAGAUACUGUUAGAACUAAGAUAGUGGCUGUGUAGUGUGGUGCAGCUACGUAGCGUGUCAUUGCGCAAGUCAGUGAUGUAUUAUUAAAACCAUUGCGAAGACGAAAAAA